rnacentral:rRNA from 1 species
CCUACGGGAGGCAGCAGUGGGGAAUAUUGGACAAUGGGGGGAACCCUGAUCCAGCGACGCCGCGUGAGGGAAGAAGUAUUUCGGUAUGUAAAGCUCUAUCAGCAGGGAAGAAAGAAAUGACGGUACCUGACUAAGAAGCCCCGGCUAACUACGGGCCAGCAGCCGCGGUAAUACGUAGGGGGCAAGCGUUAUCCGGAGUUACUGGGUGUAAAGGGGGCGUAGACGGCGAUGCAAGUCUGAAGUGAAAGGCGGGGGCCCAACCCCCGGACUGCUUUGGAAACUGUAUGGCUGGAGUGUAGGAGAGGUAGGUGGAAUUCCUGGUGUAGCGGUGAAAUGCGUAGAUAUUAGGAGGAACACCAGUUGCGAAGGCGGCUUACUGGACUGUAACUGACGUUGAGGCUCGAAAGCGUGGGGAGCAAACAGGAUUAGAUACCCGUGUAGUC